rnacentral:rRNA from 1 species
GUGCCAGCCGCCGCGGUAAUACCGGCAGCCCGAGUGAUGGCCGAUCUUAUUGGGCCUAAAGCGUCCGUAGCUGGGUCUGAAAGUCCAUCGGGAAAUCCACUCGCUCAACGAGUGGCCGUCCGGUGGAAACUCCACACCUUGGGACCGGAAGGCUCGAAGGGUACGGCCGGGGUAGGAGUGAAAUCCUGUAAUCCCGUCCGGACCACCGAUGGCGAAAGCACUUCGAGGAAACGGACCCGACAGUGAGGGACGAAAGCUGGGAUCUCGAACCGGAUUAGAAACCCGAGUAGUCC